GACGAACGCUGGCGGCGUGCCUAAUACAUGCAAGUAGAACGCUGAAGCGAGGAGCUUGCUCUUCUUGGAUGAGUUGCGAACGGGUGAGUAACGCGUAGGUAACCUGCCUUGUAGCGGGGGAUAACUAUUGGAAACGAUAGCUAAUACCGCAUAACAAUGGAUGACACAUGUCAUUUAUUUGAAAGGGGCAAUUGCUCCACUACAAGAUGGACCUGCGUUGUAUUAGCUAGUAGGUGAGGUAAUGGCUCACCUAGGCGACGAUACAUAGCCGACCUGAGAGGGUGAUCGGCCACACUGGGACUGAGACACGGCCCAGACUCCUACGGGAGGCAGCAGUAGGGAAUCUUCGGCAAUGGGGGCAACCCUGACCGAGCAACGCCGCGUGAGUGAAGAAGGUUGUCGGAUCGGAAAGCUCUGUUGUAAGUCAAGAACGGGUGUGAGAGUGGAAAGUUCACACUGUGACGGUAGCUUACCAGAAAGAGACGGCUAACUACGUG
rnacentral:rRNA from 1 species